AUUGAACGCUGGCGGCAGGCCUAACACAUGCAAGUCGAGCGAGCGGAGGACGGGUGAGUAAUGUAUGGGGACUGCCCGAUAGCGGGGGAUCACUACUGGAAACGGUAGCUAAUACAGCAUACUAUCGGAUAACCCAUAUGGGAUUAGCUAGUAGGUGAGGUAAUGGCUCACCUAGGCGACGAUCCCUAGCUGAUCUGAGAGUAUGAUCAGCCACACUGGGACUGAGAAACGGCCCAGACUCCUACGGAGGCAGCAGUGGGGAAUAUUGCACAAUGGGCGCAAGCCUGAGGCAGCCAGGCCGCGUGUAUGAAGAAGGCCCUAGGGUUGUAAAGUACGUUCAGUCGGGAGGCGUUACCGACAGAAGAAGCACCGGCUAACUCCGUGCCAGCAGCCGCGGUAAUUC
rnacentral:rRNA from 1 species